GAUGAACGCUGGCGGCGUGCCUUAUACAUGCAAGUCGAGCGAACGGACGAGAAGCUUGCUUUUCUGAUGUUAGCGGCGGACGGGUGAGUAACACGUGGAUAACCUACCUAUAAGACUGGGAUAACCUCGGGAAACCGGUGCUAAUACCGGAUAAUAUUUUGAACCGCAUGGUUCAAAAGUGAAAGACGGUCUUGCUGUUACUUAUAGAUGGAUCCGCGCUGCAUUAGCUAGUUGGUAAGGUAACGGCUUACCAAGGCAACGAUGCAUAUCCGACCUGAGAGGUGAAUCGGCCACCCGGGAACUGGGACACGGCCAGGAUCCUUAGGGAGGGAAGCAGUAGGAAACUUGCCGCAAGGGGCGAAAGCCUGACGAAGCAACGCGGCGGGAGGAAUGAGGCCCUUCGGUUCGUAAAGCCCUGUUAUAAGGAAAGAAAAUAUGGGGAUAAAACUGUGCACAUCUGAAGGGAACCGAAGAAGAAGGCCCCGGCAAACUACGU
rnacentral:rRNA from 1 species